rnacentral:rRNA from 1 species
UACGUAGGGGCAAGCGUUAUCCGGAUUUACUGGGCGUAAAGGGUGCGUAGGUGGUUUCUUAAGUCAGAGGUGAAAGGCUACGGCUCAACCGUAGUAAGCCUUUGAAACUGGGGAACUUGAGUGCAGGAGAGGAGAGUGGAAUUCCUAGUGUAGCGGUGAAAUGCGUAGAUAUUAGGAGGAACACCAGUUGCGAAGGCGGCUCUCUGGACUGUAACUGACGCUGAGGAGCGAAAGCAUGGGUAGCGAACAGGAUUAGAUACCCCCGUAGUCCCUGAGCGGG